rnacentral:rRNA from 1 species
GUGGGGAAUUUUGGACAAUGGGCGCAAGCCUGAUCCAGCAAUGCCGCGUGCAGGAAGAAGGCCUUCGGGUUGUAAACUGCUUUUGUACGGAACGAAACGGUCCGGGUUAAUACCCUGGGCUAAUGACGGUACCGUAAGAAUAAGCACCGGCUAACUACGUGCCAGCAGCCGCGGUAAUACGUAGGGUGCAAGCGUUAAUCGGAAUUACUGGGCGUAAAGCGUGCGCAGGCGGUUUUGUAAGACAGGCGUGAAAUCCCCGGGCUCAACCUGGGAAUUGCGCUUGUGACUGCAAGGCUGGAGUGCGGCAGAGGGGGAUGGAAUUCCGCGUGUAGCAGUGAAAUGCGUAGAUAUGCGGAGGAACACCGAUGGCGAAGGCAAUCCCCUGGGCCUGCACUGACGCUCAUGUACGAAAGCGUGGGGAGCAAACAGGAUUAGAUACCCGUGUAGUCC